UACGUAGGGCGCAAGCGUUGUCCGGAUUCACUGGGUGUAAAGGGCGCGUAGGCGGUCUUGUAAGUCUUGUGUGAAAUCCCUCGGCUUAACUGAGGAACUGCACGAGAUACUGCGAGACUUGAGUUCGGGAGAGGAAAGCGGAAUUCCGGGUGUAGCGGUGAAAUGCGUAGAUAUCCGGAGGAACACCUGCGGUGUAGACGGCUUACUGGACCAUAACUGACGCUGAGGCACGAAAGCGUGGGUAGCAAACAGG
rnacentral:rRNA from 1 species